rnacentral:rRNA from 1 species
GACGAAUGCUGGCUGCGUGCUUAACACAUGCAAGUCGAACGGUGAAGGAGAGCUUGCUCUCCGGAUCAGUGGCGAACGGGUGAGUAACACGUGGGCAACCUGCCCCUCACUCUGGGAUAACGCCGGGAAACCGGCGCUAAUACCGGAUACGACCAGGCGCGACAUCUCGCCUGGUGGAAAGAAUUUCGGUGAGGGAUGGGCCCGCGGCCUAUCAGCUUGUUGGUGGGGUAACGGCCCACCAAGGCGACGACGGGUAGCCGGCCUGAGAGGGCGACCGGCCACACGGGGACUGAGACACGGGCCAGACUCCUACGGGAGGCAGCAGUGGGGAAUAUUGCGCAAUGGGCGAAAGCCGGACGCAGCGACGCAGCGUGGGGGACGACGGCCUUCGGGUUGUAAACCUCUUUCAGCGGGGACGAAGCGAAAGUGACGGUACCCGCAGAAGAAGCACCGGCUAACUACGUGCCAGCAGCCGCAGUAAAAC